UUGCUCCUACGGGAGGCAGUAGUGGGGAAUAUUGCACAAUGGGGGAAACCCUGAUGCAGCGACGCCGCGUGAGUGAAGAAGUAUUUCGGUAUGUAAAGCUCUAUCAGCAGGGAAGAUAAUGACGGUACCUGAGUAAGAAGCCCCGGCUAACUACGUGCCAGCAGCCGCGGUAAUACGUAGGGGGCAAGCGUUAUCCGGAUUUACUGGGUGUAAAGGGAGCGUAGACGGCAUGGCAAGUCUGAAGUGAAAGCCCGGGGCUCAACCGCGGGACUGCUUUGGAAAUGGUUAAGCUGGAGUGCAGGAGG
rnacentral:rRNA from 1 species